GACCCGGUAGCUCAGCUGAAUAGAGCUCUUGCCUUCUAAGCAAGCGGUCAUUGGUUUGAAUCCAAUCCGGGUCA
rnacentral:tRNA from 1 species